ACUCUUUUAUAGAGAUCUAGUCCUAAUAAGACUCCAGGUUCAAGGCCAAUUAUUAUUUCUUCAAAUGCGCUCAUACAAGCUGCAGCAAGAAAUUCUCGAAUGUUUAAAGCAAUGGGUCCAGAACUAGCUGGCCUGGACUCUAGAUCACGGACCCUUUAGUCUUCGCAAUUAAUUAGGAUGGCUAAAUUACAUCUAAGUUUCAUUUGAUGGAUAUUUGCUACGAGAAUUAUGAACUUUAUGAAUCUACAUAUUAUACGUAUGGUUUUGAAUAUUGUAAUUGAAUGCAUGUAUUUUUUUUUACGGUUGCAAUAUGCUACAACCCACUUUCGGUUGC